GGAAGGAUCAUUACACAGCGUGCGUUGCGCACGCGGACACGCCUGGGCUUCCGGCCCAGGGUGCUCUUGUCCUUGCCUGAUUACACCUAAUGUUUUUUCCUCGGGGGGGUGUAUCCCCCCGGUAGGGAAGCCUAAACAACCUUAGAAGCAGCAGUGUACUCUCUGAUGGAAACAUGAAUCGUGACAACUUUCAACAAUGGAUCUCUUGGUUCUGGCAUCGAUGAAGAACGCAGCGAAAUGCGAUAAGUAGUGUGAAUUGCAGAAUUCAGUGAAUCAUCGAAUCUUUGAACGCACAUUGCGCCCUUCGGUAUUCCGUGGGGCAUGCCUGUUCGAGCGUCAUUGACACCUUCAAGCCUUGCUUGGUGUUGGGCGUCUGUCCCGGGGGCGCACCUCCCGUCCGGACUCGCCUCAAAGGUAUUGGCAGCGGACCCUCUGGCCUCCUAAUCGCGCAGCACUGCCCGCGCCUCCUGGAGCCUGGGGCGUUUCAGCGUCCAUGAAGCCUAACUCUCCCAUGUUUGACCUCGGAUCAGGUAGGGAUACCCGCUGAACUUAAGCAUAUCAAUA
rnacentral:rRNA from 1 species